GGGUUCGUAGCUUAAUUGGAAAGCAUCUAGCUGGCCGCUAGAAAGAUAUCGGUUCAAGUCCGAUCGCAAUCCACCA
rnacentral:tRNA from 1 species